CUACGGAGGGUGCAAGCGUUAAUCGGAAUUACUGGGCGUAAAGCGUACGUAGGCGGUUCGUUAAGUUAGAUGUGAAAGCCCCGGGCUUAACCUGGGAACUGCAUUUAAAACUGGCGAAAUAGAGUUGAGUAGAGGGGAGUGGAAUUUCAGGUGUAGCGGUGAAAUGCGUAGAGAUCUGAAGGAACACCAGUGGCGAAGGCGACUCCCUGGACUCGAACUGACGCUGAGGUACGAAAGCGUGGGUAGCAAACGGGAUUAGAAACCCCUGUAGUCC
rnacentral:rRNA from 1 species